rnacentral:rRNA from 1 species
GAUGAACGCUGGCGGCGUGCCUAAUACAUGCAAGUCGAGCGAACAGAUGAGGAGCUUGCUCCUCUGACGUUAGCGGCGGACGGGUGAGUAACACGUGGAUAACCUACCUAUAAGACUGGGAUAACUUCGGGAAACCGGAGCUAAUACCGGAUAAUAUAUUGAACCGCAUGGUUCAAUAGUGAAAGACGGUUUUGCUGUCACUUAUAGAUGGAUCCGCGCCGCAUUAGCUAGUUGGUAAGGUAACGGCUUACCAAGGCGACGAUGCGUAGCCGACCUGAGAGGGUGAUCGGCCACACUGGAACUGAGACACGGUCCAGACUCCCACGGGAGGCAGCAGUAGGGAAUCUUCCGCAAUGGGCGAAAGCUUGACGGAGCAACGCCGCGUGAGUGAUGAAGGUCUUCGGAUCGUAAAACUCUGUUAUUAGGGAAGAACAAAUGUGUAAGUAACUAUGCACGUCUUGACGGUACCUAAUCAGAAAGCCACGGCUAACUACGUG